rnacentral:rRNA from 1 species
GAGCCUGAGAAACGGCUACCACAUCUAAGGAAGGCAGCAGGCGCGUAAAUUACCCAAUCCCGACUCGGGGAGGUAGUGACAAGAAAUAACGGACCGGGACUUUCGGGUUCCGGGAUUGCAAUGAGCCGAAUUUACACCCCUUAGCGAGGAUCGAUUGGAGGGCAAGUC